rnacentral:rRNA from 1 species
UACGGGGGGGGCAAGCGUUGUUCGGAAUUACUGGGCGUAAAGGGUGCGUAGGCGGCUCGCUAAGUUAGAUGUGAAAACUCUGGGCUCAACCCAGAGCCUGCAUCUAAAACUGGCGGGCUAGAGUUCUGGAGGGGGUAGCGGAAUUCCUGGUGUAGCGGUGAAAUGCGUAGAUAUCAGGAGGAACACCGGUGGCGAAGGCGGCUACCUGGACAGAAACUGACGCUGAGGUGCGAAAGCGUGGGGAGCAAACAGG